rnacentral:rRNA from 1 species
CCUACGGGCGGCUGCAGUGGGGAAUAUUGCACAAUGGGGGAAACCCUGAUGCAGCGACGUCGCGUGAGUGAUGAAGUAUUUCGGUAUGUAAAGCUCUAUCAGCAGGGGAGAAAAUGACGGUACCUGACUAAGAAUCCCCGGCUAACUACGGGCCAGCAGCCGCGGUAAUACGUCGGGGGCAAGCGUUAUACGGAUUUACUGGGUGUAAAGGGAGCGUAGACGGGGGUGCAAGCCAGAUGUGAAAGCCCGGGGCUCAACCCCGGGACUGCAUUUGGAACUGUGCUGCUAGAGUUUCGAAGAGGCAGGCGGAAUUCGUGGUGUAGCGGUGAAAUGCGUAGAUAUUAGGAAGAACACCAGUGGCGAAGGCGGCCUGCUGGACGAUGACUGACGUUGAGGCUCGAAAGCGUGGGGAGCAAACAGGAUUAGAUACCCGGGUAGUC